rnacentral:rRNA from 1 species
GAUGAACGCUGGCGGCGUGCCUAAUACAUGCAAGUCGAGCGAACAGAUGAGGAGCUUGCUCCUCUGACGUUAGCGGCGGACGGGUGAGUAACACGUGGAUAACCUACCUAUAAGACUGGGAUAACUUCGGGAAACCGGAGCUAAUACCGGAUAAUAUAUUGAACCGCAUGGUUCAAUAGUGAAAGACGGUUUUGCUGUCACUUAUAGAUGGAUCCGCGCCGCAUUAGCUAGUUGGUAAGGUAACGGCUUACCAAGGCAACGAUGCGUAGCCGACCUGAGAGGGAGGUCGGCCACACUGGAACUGAGACACGGUCCAGACUCCUACGGGAGGCAGCAGUAGGGAAUCUUCCGCAAUGGGCGAAAGCCUGACGGAGCAACGCCGCGUGAGUGAUGAAGGUCUUCGGAUCGUAAAACUCUGUUAUUAGGGAAGAACAAAUGUGUAAGUAACUAUGCACGUCUUGACGGUACCUAAUCAGAAAGCCACGGCUAACUACGUG